UUGAUGACGAGUGGCGCACGGGUGCGUAACGCGUAUAGGACCUACCCUGUACAGGGGGAUAGCCCAUGGAAACGUGGAUUAAUACCCCGUGGUGAUCUUAAGUGGCAUCAUUUGAGGUUUAAAGCUUUCGGGCGGUACGGGAUGGCUAUGCGUCUUAUUAGUUAGUAGGUGAGGUAACGGCUCACCUAGGCAGCGAUAAGUAGGGGCCCUGAGAGGGGGAUCCCCCACACUGGUACUGAGACACGGACCAGACUCCUACGGGAGGCAGCAGUGAGGAAUAUUGGACAAUGGGCGGAAGCCUGAUCCAGCCAUGCCGCGUGCAGGAAGACGGCCUUAUGGGUUGUAAACUGCUUUUAUAUGGGAAGAAUAAUCGCCACGUGUGAUGAGAUGACGGUACCGUAAGAAUAAGGACCGGCUAACUCCGUGCCAGCAGCCGCGGUAAUACGGAGGGUCCGAGCGUUAUCCGGAAUCAUUGGGUUUAAAGGGUCCGCAGGCGGGCAAUUAAGUCAGGGGUGAAAUGGUGCGGCUCAACCGUAGCACUGCCCUUGAUACUGGUUGUCUUGAGUUGUGGUGAAGUGGCCGGAAUAUGUAGUGUAGCGGUGAAAUGCAUAGAUAUUACAUAGAACACCGAUCGCGAAGGCAGGUCACUAACCACUAACUGACGCUGAUGGACGAAAGCGUGGGGAGCGAACGGGAUUAGAUACCCCGGUAGUCCACGCUGUAAACGAUGGAUACUAGCUGUCGGGGCGCAAGCCUCGGUGGCCAAGCGAAAGUGAUAAGUAUCCCACCUGGGGAGUACGUUCGCAAGAAUG
rnacentral:rRNA from 1 species